UACGGAGGGGGCUAGCGUUGUUCGGAAUUACUGGGCGUAAAGCGUACGUAGGCGGCUUUGUAAGUUAGAGGUGAAAGCCCGGGGCUCAACUCCGGAAUUGCCUUCAAGACUGCAUCGCUUGAAUCAUGGAGAGGUGAGUGGAAUUCCGAGUGUAGAGGUGAAAUUCGUAGAUAUUCGGAAGAACACCAGUGGCGAAGGCGACUCACUGGACAUGUAUUGACGCUGAGGUACGAAAGCGUGGGGAGCAAACAGG
rnacentral:rRNA from 1 species